rnacentral:rRNA from 1 species
AUCUUGCGCAAUGGGCGAAAGCCUGACGCAGCCAUGCCGCGUGAAUGAUGAAGGUCUUAGGAUUGUAAAAUUCUUUCACCGGGGACGAUAAUGACGGUACCCGGAGAAGAAGCCCCGGCUAACUUCGAGCCAGCAGACCGGGUAAUACGAAGGGGGCUAGCGUUGAUCGGAAUUACCGGGCGUAAAGGGCGCGUAGGCGGACAUUUAAGUCAGGGGUUAAAUCCCAGAGCUCAACCUUGGGACUGCCUUUUAUAGUGGGUGUCUUGAGUGGGGGAGAGGUAUGGGGAACUUCGAGUGUAGGAGUUAAAAUCGUAGAUUUUCGGAAGAAAACCAGUGGGGAAGGCGACAUACCGGCUUAAUACUGACGCUGAGGCGACAAAGCGUUGGGAGCAAACA